rnacentral:rRNA from 1 species
AGCGAACGCUGGCGGCAGGCCUAACACAUGCAAGUCGAGCGCCCGUAGCAAUACGGGAGCGGCAGACGGGAGAGUAACACGUGGGAACGUACCCUUCAGUUCGGAACAACCCAGGGAAACUUGGGCUAAUACCGAAUACGUCCGUAAGGAGAAAGAUUUAUCGCUGAAGGAUCGGCCCGCGUCUGAUUAGCUAGUUGGUGAGGUAAUGGCUCACCAAGGCGACGAUCAGUAGCUGGCUGAGAGGAUGAUCAGCCUCACUGGGACUGAGACACGGCCCAGACUCCUACGGGAGGCAGCAGUGGGGAAUAUUGGGACAAUGGGCGCAAGCCUGAUCCAGCCAUGCCGCGUGGGUGAUGAAGGCCCUAGGGUUGUAAAGCCCUUUGGCGGGAAGAUAAUGACGGUACCGCAGAAGAAGCCCCGGCUAACUUCGUGCCAG